rnacentral:tRNA from 1 species
GACCUCGGAGCUCAGUUGGUAGAGCGUGUGCUUUAAAAGAGCAUAAGUGGCGUCCAUGCAUGGGUUCGAAUCUCACCGAGGCUA